rnacentral:rRNA from 1 species
UCCAUUUUACAUAUCGCCGGCUAUGUUGCCCUCUGCGAGUUAUUCCUGGGCUGCGAGGCUCAUUUUGAGUUGUGGAAAAGGUUUUUUUUGCCUCGUCCCCCGCACACAGAAGGGGUCAUUUUAUCAAGUGGACGGACCGAAAUAUGGCGCAUCGCCGAAAUCGGAUACCUGUCCGGUACUCCGAAGAAGAUGUCCGAAGACUGGCCUUCGGAAUUGUUUUAUAUGGAGGACGUCUCCCUUCCGCACCCUGUUCGGCGGGGUCUUCCUGAGUUCAACAAUGCUCCUCUGAAGAAACGCUGA